AUUGUAGUAUAUGAGUGCCUGUUAUUUUCUUUGCUACACUAAUCCCAAAAGCAGUGGCAUGCUUUUUGAAUGCUAACGAUGUGAUCAACCUUAGGCCUAUUUUAUUCAUGAAGAUAGAAGCGAGCAGCUAGGUAACAGAAGGCUGAUAGAGCUGCCUGGGUGCAACAUAUCUUACAGAGUUGGAUGCGGUUUUGUGUGAUGCAAUGGUGCAGGGUGUGUCUUUCAAGAGCCUCAAAUGGUCACACGUCAAGCGUGAGGGAAACAUGGCAGCUCAUCAUCUUGCUAGAUAUAUUCCCUUUGAUCAUGAACAAAUAUGGGAAAAUUAUGUCCUUGAUACUGUCGCCCCCUUUGUACUCAUGGAUGCUUUUGCUUCUAGUUAAUGCUAAGCUUUUUGCUCCCUUUCAAAAAAAAAAAAAAAAA